CCUACGGGUGGCAGCAGUGGGGAAUCUUGGGCAAUGGAGGCAACUCUGACCCAGCAACGCCGCGUGAAUGAUGAAGGUCUUCGGAAUGUAAAGUUCUGUGAUGGGGGAUGAACACAAUGACGGUACCCCAAUAGCAAGACACGGCUAACUACGUGCCAGCAGCCGCGGCAAUACGUAGGUGGCAAGCGUUAUUCGGAAUGACUGGGUGUACAGGGUGCGUAGGGGGUUUAGUAAGUUGGCGGUGUAAUUCCGGGGCUGAACCUCGGCGCUACCGCCGAACCUAUGAGACUAGAGUGCAGGAGGGGUAAGUGGAAUGCCUGGUGUAGCGGUGAAAUGCGUAGAUAUUAGGAGGAACAUCAGGGGCGAAGGCGACUUACUGGACUUUAACUGACGCUGAGGCACGAAAGCGUGGGGAGCAAACAGGAUUAGAUACCCUGGUAGUC
rnacentral:rRNA from 1 species